UAAAACAAUUACAGAGUGUUUUGUAAUUGUCUGUUUCAGACCAGCUGUCAAAAGCAAAAGGAAGUAGCGUUGCCAUUACUUGUGAAUACAGCAGUGACACUUCACACAGAGAGGGCAUCAGUGUUGUCUGGAUACUAAACCGAAAUUCAGUGAUCUCAGUCCUGGCAGCCUUCAAUGGUACAUCUCACUCUUACCAGCCUCGAGUCCAGAUUAACAGAAGUGACUUUUCACUGCUGAUGAGUGAUCUUACCACAAAUGACAGUGGAGAAUAUAUCUGUAAUAUUUCAGCACCUCACUACACAAAACUUACUGUGAGAACAUUGCAAGUUGAACAUUCAGAUAACACUUGGAUAAUUGUGACAGCAGUGGCCGUACUGGUGGUGUUUGUACUGGUGGUGGUGGUGAUAGGAGUCUUUUAUCUCAAGGUACGUACAAACAUUAGGGUAUUUACUUUUGGGCAUACUAUUAAGCUGAAUUUCAGACCUUGAAUGUUUGACCAAAACAGAUUUGAUUUUCAUGGUAUAAAGGAUGCAAACAGGACUGAAAAACUUAGAAUAAUAAAUCUCAGCUUAAUUGCCCUCAUUUUUUCUAUAUUCUAUGUCCAAAAAGCCCUUUUUAGUACAUCUAGGCAAUAAUAUUUUAGUUGUAACAAUGCUAACAUGCCCUUUCCUUGACCAGAUUGCUCUCCUGCACUCUAUAAAGAGAUG